rnacentral:rRNA from 1 species
GAUGAACGCUGGCGGUCUGCUUAACACAUGCAAGUCGAACGAACUCUUCGGAGUGAGUGGCGGACGGGUGAGUAACGCGUGGGUAACCUGCCCCAUACACAGGGAUAGCCAUUGGAAACGAUGAUUAAUACCUGAUAACACAUAUCUACCGCAUGGUAGAAAUGUCAAAGAUUUAUCGGUAUGGGAUGGACCCGCGUCUGAUUAGUUAGUUGGUAAGGUAACGGCUUACCAAGACAGCGAUCAGUAGCCGACCUGAGAGGGUGAUCGGCCACACUGGAACUGAGACACGGUCCAGACUCCUACGGAGGCAGCAGUGGGGAAUAUUGCACAAUGGGCGCAAGCCUGAUGCAGCAACGCCGCGUGAGCGAAGAAGGUCUUCGGAUCGU